rnacentral:rRNA from 1 species
GAGAGAGACAUGCGCGCAUAUCAAUAAGCGGAGGAAAAGAAACUAACUAGGAUUCCCUCAGUAACGGCGAGUGAAGCGGGAAGAGCUCAAAUUUGAAAUCUUCAAGGUUCUACCUUGACGAAUUGUAGUUUAAAGAAGUGUUUUCUGUUGGAGUUUUGGUAAAAGUUCUUUGGAAUAGGACAUCAUAGAGGGUGAGAAUCCCGUAUUUGACCAUUAUUUCCAACUUUGUGAUACACUUUCAAAGAGUCGGAUUGUUUGGGAAUGCAGUCCAAAAUGGGUGGUAAAUUUCAUCUAAAGCUAAAUACUGGCGAGAGACCGAUAGCGAACAAGUACCGUGAGGGAAAGAUGAAAAGAACUUUGAAAAGAGAGUUAAACAGUACGUGAAAUUGUCAAAAGGGAAGCGUUUGACACCAGUGUUGUUUUCUCGAAAAUCAAUUAAAAAAUGGCAGGAUUUUGUGUUGUAUUGACUUUAUCAGCUUUCUGCACUCUUUUUCUUGUCUUUUUUAAUGCACUUUUCGUUUAACAAGUCAACAUCAAUUUCUUUUGUUGUAAAAGGGUCAUUGGAAGGUGGCUUUAGCUUUCGGAUAAAGUGUUUAUAGCCUUUGGCCUCUGCAAUCGGAGAGAUUGAGGUCUGCAGCGUAGAUCCUUCGGGGUUAGAUACAUUUGUGCUAAGUUAUAGCCUUUUCAUAGACAACAUUGUUGACUAUGAUCAGUCAUGUAGCUUACUCGCUUAUGUCAUUUUACCUACGCUUAGGAUGUUGACAGCAGUAUAGACUGU